rnacentral:rRNA from 1 species
UACCGCCUACGGGACGCAGCAGUGAGGAAUAUUGGUCAAUGGGCGCGAGCCUGAACCAGCCAAGUCGCGUGAGGGAAGACGGUCCUAUGGAUUGUAAACCUCUUUUGUCGGGGAGCAAAAGACGCCACGCGUGGCGUUCCGAGAGUACCCGAAGAAAAGGCAUCGGCUAACUCCGUGCCAGCAGCCGCGAUAAUACGGAGGAUGCGAGCGUUAUCCGGAUUUAUUGGGUUUAAAGGGUGCGCAGGCGGAAGAUCAAGUCAGCGGUAAAAUUGAGAGGCUCAACCUCUUCGAGCCGUUGAAACUGG